rnacentral:lncRNA from 1 species
UUUCCUUUUAAGUAUACCAUGGACAGCUCUCCUGAUUAGUCCUAUGGGUUUACCUUAUGAUUUCCAGAAAGCCUGGCCCUUUGAAAUUUGUAGUUAAUCUUCACAGUUCCUGCCGGAAAAACAAAGCUGGGAUCUGUCUAAGAAAGUGAUGUCAUCUGGGGCCUCUAAGGUAUAAAGAAGUGGAAAGCCUCAAAGGGAUGGACAGACUCCAGAGAGAAGCUCAGAAACUGUUUAGCUUGGAGAAACCAAAGAAAGGAGGCUCUUUUUGCCUCAAAGGAAAAGAAAAAUUGCUUUUAGAAGAAGGGACUUCAAGUUGUUCUAGAAAAGCGAAGGCUGUGUGUUCUGAAGACCCAAAGAAAAAAGCUGACUAGCUUAAAUCCUGACCUUGUAGCUUUCUCCAUAGAGUGAAUAAGAAAGCCAACUUUCAGCAAGAAUUGCAAGUGGAUUUCAACAGUUUAAAAACCAACUGCAGGAAGAGUGAGUCAGAGUAAAUGGUG